ACAUUUACAUACAAACUUUGUUUAUUCAGACCAUUGGCCUAAUAGGGCUUCUUGUUAACAGUCUACUCUAAUUUUAGAAAUGUAAUUAUGAUGGAAAAUAAAACUAAUGCAAAUGGUAAAGACAAAGUACAGCCUGGCCAAUAAAUUUUAUGAAAGUUGUGGUAGCUUCAAACCUCUCUUUAUUCAUUCACUCAGUCACGUCUGGCACCCAUCGAUGAAUGACCUCAGGUGAUGUUUGCUGACAAGGAGACACUAAGGAGGAAGCUGUGAAGUGGAGCAUAGAUUUGCACUGGUAUUCAGAGAAACAUGCUGACGCUGUUCUUCCAACAUCCCUAGUUUGGGUUUCAUGAAGCAUUUUUCCCCACUUCUCGUUUUUCUCACUGCAGUGUUU